rnacentral:rRNA from 1 species
UACGUAGGUGGCAAGCGUUGUCCGGAUUUACUGGGCGUAAAGAGCGCGCAGGCGGUCGUUCAAGUCGCGUGUGAAAGCCCCCGGCUCAACUGGGGAGGGUCACGCGAUACUGAUCGACUCGAAGGCAGGAGAGGGUAGUGGAAUUCCCGGUGUAGUGGUGAAAUGCGUAGAUAUCGGGAGGAACACCAGCGGCGAAGGCGACUACCUGGCCUGUUUCUUGACGCUGAGGCGCGAAAGCUAGGGGAGCAAACGGG